rnacentral:rRNA from 1 species
UACGUAGGCAGCAAGCGUUGUUCGGAGUUACUGGGCGUAAAGGGUGUGUAGGCGGCUUUUUAAGUUUGGUGUGAAAUCUCCCGCUCAACCGGGAGGGUGCGCCGAAUACUGAGAGGCUAGAGUGCGGGAGAGGAAAGUGGAAUUCCUGGUGUAGCGGUGAAAUGCGUAGAUAUCAGGAGGAACACCGGUGGUGUAGACGGCUUUCUGGACCGUAACUGACGCUGAAACACGAAAGCGUGGGUAGCAAACAGG